GAUGAACGCUGGCGGCGUGCCUAACACAUUCAAGUCGAACGGAGUCGUUUUGGAAAUCUCUUCGGAGAUGGAAUUCUCGACUUAGUGGCGGACGGGUGAGUAACGCGUGAGCAAUCUGCCUUUAAGAGGGGGAUAACAGUCGGAAGCGGCUGCUAAUACCGCAUAAAGCAUUAAAUUCGCAUGUUUUUGAUGCCAAAGGAGCAAUCCGCUUUUAGAUGAGCUCGCGUCUGAUUAGCUAGUUGGCGGGGUAACGGCCCACCAAGGCGACGAUCAGUAGCCGGACUGAGAGGUUGAACGGCCACAUUGGGACUGAGACACGGCCCAGACUCCUACGGGAGGCAGCAGUGGGGAAUAUUGCGCAGUGGGGGAAACCCUGACGCAGCAACGCCGCGUGAUUGAAGAAGGCCUUCGGGUUGUAAAGAUCUUUAAUCAGGGACGAAACAAAUGACGGUACCUGAAGAAUAAGCGCCGGCUAACUACGUG
rnacentral:rRNA from 1 species